rnacentral:rRNA from 1 species
GAUGAACGCUGGCGGCGUGCCUAAUACAUGCAAGUCGAGCGAACAGACGAGGAGCUUGCUCCUCUGACGUUAGCGGCGGACGGGUGAGUAACACGUGGAUAACCUACCUAUAAGACUGGGAUAACUUCGGGAAACCGGAGCUAAUACCGGAUAAUAUAUUGAACCGCAUGGUUCAAUAGUGAAAGACGGUUUUGCUGUCACUUAUAGAUGGAUCCGCGCCGCAUUAGCUAGUUGGUAAGGUAACGGCUUACCAAGGCAACGAUGCGUAGCCGACCUGAGAGGGUGAUCGGCCCCACUGGAACUGAGACACGGUCCCGACCCCUAAGGGAGGCAGCAGUAGGGAAUCUUCCGCAAUGGGCGAAAGCCUGACCGAGCCACGCCGGGUGAGUGAUGAAGGUCUUCCGAUCCUAAAACUCUGUUAUUAGGGAAGAACAAAUGUGUAAGUAACUAUGCACGUCUUGACGGUACCUAAUCAGAAAGCCACGGCUAACUACGUG